UACAGAGGGGGCAAGCGUUAUUCGGAAUUAUUGGGCGUAAAGGGCGCGUAGGCGGCCUGGCAAGUGGAAGGUGAAAUCCCUCGGCUUAACCGAGGAACUGCCCUCCAAACUGCUUGGCUUGAAUCCGGGAGAGGGAUGCAGAAUUCCAGGUGUAGCGGUGAAAUGCGUAGAUAUCUGGAGGAAUACCGGUGGCGAAGGCGGCAUCCUGGCCCGGCAUUGACGCUGAGGAGCGAAAGCUAGGGGAGCAAACGGG
rnacentral:rRNA from 1 species